CGUCUGGAAAGGCGCGCGAUACAGGGUGACAGCCCCGUACACAAAAAUGCACAUAUUGUGAGCUCGAUGAGUAGGGCGGGACACGUGGUAUCCUGUCUGAAUAUGGGGGGACCAUCCUCCAAGGCUAAAUACUCCUGACUGACCGAUAGUGAACCAGUACCGUGAGGGAAAGGCGAAAAGAACCCCGGCGAGGGGAGUGAAAAAGAACCUGAAACCGUGUACGUACAAGCAGUGGGAGCCUCUUUAUGGGGUGACUGCGUACCUUUUGUAUAAUGGGUCAGCGACUUAUAUUCUGUAGCAAGGUUAACCGAAUAGGGGAGCCGAAGGGAAACCGAGUCUUAACUGGGCGUUAAGUUGCAGGGUAUAGACCCGAAACCCGGUGAUCUAGCCAUGGGCAGGUUGAAGGUUGGGUAACACUAACUGGAGGACCGAACCGACUAAUGUUGAAAAAUUAGCGGAUGACUUGUGGCUGGGGGUGAAAGGCCAAUCAAACCGGGAGAUAGCUGGUUCUCCCCGAAAGCUAUUUAGGUAGCGCCUCGUGAAUUCAUCUCCGGGGGUAGAGCACUGUUUCGGCAAGGGGGUCAUCCCGACUUACCAACCCGAUGCAAACUGCGAAUACCGGAGAAUGUUAUCACGGGAGACACACGGCGGGUGCUAACGUCCGUCGUGAAGAGGGAAACAACCCAGACCGCCAGCUAAGGUCCCAAAGUCAUGGUUAAGUGGGAAACGAUGUGGGAAGGCCCAGACAGCCAGGAUGUUGGCUUAGAAGCAGCCAUCAUUUAAAGAAAGCGUAAUAGCUCACUGGUCGAGUCGGCCUGCGCGGAAGAUGUAACGGGGCUAAACCAUGCACCGAAGCUGCGGCAGCGACACUAUGUGUUGUUGGGUAGGGGAGCGUUCUGUAAGCCUGCGAAGGUGUACUGUGAGGUAUGCUGGAGGUAUCAGAAGUGCGAAUGCUGACAUAAGUAACGAUAAAGCGGGUGAAAAGCCCGCUCGCCGGAAGACCAAGGGUUCCUGUCCAACGUUAAUCGGGGCAGGGUGAGUCGACCCCUAAGGCGAGGCCGAAAGGCGUAGUCGAUGGGAAACAGGUUAAUAUUCCUGUACUUGGUGUUACUGCGAAGGGGGGACGGAGAAGGCUAUGUUGGCCGGGCGACGGUUGUCCCGGUUUAAGCGUGUAGGCUGGUUUUCCAGGCAAAUCCGGAAAAUCAAGGCUGAGGCGUGAUGACGAGGCACUACGGUGCUGAAGCAACAAAUGCCCUGCUUCCAGGAAAAGCCUCUAAGCAUCAGGUAACAUCAAAUCGUACCCCAAACCGACACAGGUGGUCAGGUAGAGAAUACCAAGGCGCUUGAGAGAACUCGGGUGAAGGAACUAGGCAAAAUGGUGCCGUAACUUCGGGAGAAGGCACGCUGAUAUGUAAGUGAAGUCCCUUGCGGAUGGAGCUGAAAUCAGUCGAAGAUACCAGCUGGCUGCAACUGUUUAUUAAAAACACAGCACUGUGCAAACACGAAAGUGGACGUAUACGGUGUGACGCCUGCCCGGUGCCGGAAGGUUAAUUGAUGGGGUUAGCGGUAACGCGAAGCUCUUGAUCGAAGCCCCGGUAAACGGCGGCCGUAACUAUAACGGUCCUAAGGUAGCGAAAUUCCUUGUCGGGUAAGUUCCGACCUGCACGAAUGGCGUAAUGAUGGCCAGGCUGUCUCCACCCGAGACUCAGUGAAAUUGAACUCGCUGUGAAGAUGCAGUGUACCCGCGGCAAGACGGAAAGACCCCGUGAACCUUUACUAUAGCUUGACACUGAACAUUGAGCCUUGAUGUGUAGGAUAGGUGGGAGGCUUUGAAGUGUGGACGCCAGUCUGCAUGGAGCCGACCUUGAAAUACCACCCUUUAAUGUUUGAUGUUCUAACGUUGGCCCCUGAUCGGGGUUGCGGACAGUGUCUGGUGGGUAGUUUGACUGGGGCGGUCUCCUCCUAAAGAGUAACGGAGGAGCACGAAGGUUGGCUAAUCCUGGUCGGACAUCAGGAGGUUAGUGCAAUGGCAUAAGCCAGCUUGACUGCGAGCGUGACGGCGCGAGCAGGUGCGAAAGCAGGUCAUAGUGAUCCGGUGGUUCUGAAUGGAAGGGCCAUCGCUCAACGGAUAAAAGGUACUCCGGGGAUAACAGGCUGAUACCGCCCAAGAGUUCAUAUCGACGGCGGUGUUUGGCACCUCGAUGUCGGCUCAUCACAUCCUGGGGCUGAAGUAGGUCCCAAGGGUAUGGCUGUUCGCCAUUUAAAGUGGUACGCGAGCUGGGUUUAGAACGUCGUGAGACAGUUCGGUCCCUAUCUGCCGUGGGCGCUGGAGAACUGAGGGGGGCUGCUCCUAGUACGAGAGGACCGGAGUGGACGCAUCACUGGUGUUCGGGUUGUCAUGCCAAUGGCACUGCCCGGUAGCUAAAUGCGGAAGAGAUAAGUGCUGAAAGCAUCUAAGCACGAAACUUGCCCCGAGAUGAGUUCUCCCUGACUCCUUGAGAGUCCUGAAGGAACGUUGAAGACGACGACGUUGAUAGGCCGGGUGUGUAAGCGCAGCGAUGCGUUGAGCUAACCGGUACUAAUGAACCGUGAGGCUUAACCUUACAACGCCGAAG
rnacentral:rRNA from 1 species